GAACCUGAGACCCAAAUAAUCUCAGUUCGAAUUUCCAAGAAUAUAUACUUCCUGUUUUAGAACGUCAAACAGUCAUUGCUUGAAUAAUUCAUUGAAAUAACUGGUCUUUUAAAAAAUAAUGAAUUCACGUACGGUGUAAAUGUGUCUUACUCUCUGAGUUUCAAUCAAACCUCGCACAGAAACAUGUGUAUUAAAGUUCUUCUCCUUUGGUGUAUAUUUUGUACAUGUAUAUUUUUAGAAAUUGACAGCGCACCUGUGACUUUUAAGUUUACAAUCAAUUCAAGGAUUACCUAUGAACGCUGCUCAUCAGGAUGUUGCAGCAAUCUGUGCUGCAAAACCACCAACGAGAGUAGUAGCAAUACAGGAACCAUGGCUGGUGGAAUUUUCGGUGGUUUUCUUGUAAUUGUCAUUUUAAGUGCAUGUUGUAUUUGUUGUGGGUGCUGUAAAGAUAAGGACGGAAAAGACAUUUGCCUUGAAUGUUCUCUUAGAACGGCUGAAGCAUGCGCGUGAUGCUGUUAACGCUGGCUGAUAACCUUAAUAUUGUCUUACAUACGUUGCUUGGAAUUGUUUCAGUGAAUCUGUGCAUAGAUUUUAUAUAAAGGACAUUUUAAUUUUUUUUUUCUUUCGAUGAAUUUGAAAUAGUGUUAACAUAUACAUGCGUACAUGUUAACUAUAUAUCGUCAUGUUCAGAGUUAAUACGCAAGAUCGCGCCUACUUUUUCCGUCUUGGUUUUAAUUUUUACUUUCUCCUUUCAAAUUCUCGCGAGACCCAGAGUAUGCGAGAAUUUGGGCAUGCUCGUAAAUAAUACCCGUUCUGCAACUUUUGUCGUGAUCGAUUCACCCGAUUUUAACCAUGGUGCACUAUCAUUGCAUUGCAUUAGACUGUAGUAAUGAUUCAAGAAAGAAACAUAAUACGCAGAGAUAUCCACAAUGAUAUAUUUUAAUGGAAAUGUGGUGGAUUUUCCCCCACUGCUGUCAGCCAGGAAAUUGCCAAAGCCGAGAAGAGCUUGCGUCAAAAUAUAUAGCUUCGCGAGCUAAACUCAGAAGUUAAUUUUUCCUGUAUCCAGACGAUUUUACACACAUUUCAUUUAAAAAUGCUUUUAAUUGCGGAAAGCACAUGGAUGUUAAAUCGUCUUCCGAUCCCAUGUUUUGAAUAAACAAAAAAUGCCCAAGAUCGACACGCUUUUCCGGACUUCUUUACAAGAGAGUUCCGCUAACUCGGUAUUUACGAUCUUGCGUAUUACAGUAUAUAGGGUAGCAAGCUUUGCCGAUUUCUUUUUCUCUGGGUACAUAACCAAGAUGAAAAAUAUCACCUCUCUGUUGUAAAAUACAUAAAAUAUAAAUUUCAUUUGGGAAAAUAUUUGAGAGUAUGAAGUGCGACGCUUUAUUAUGGAAUGUCAUUGCUGCCAUGUGUGGUGUGCUUUAAUUUACUGUAAGCUGUCUUUUCAUCGCGAGCGAGAAAUUUUCGCUAGAAUAGCGAUACAUAUAUAUUAUUACUACAGUAACUUGAUCCGAAAUUUGAUCUGAUGAUCUGUGCCUGUCAACGAAACGUGAUCCAACUCUUCGGAUCAAGUUCCUGUAGUAAUGAUAAAUUUAUUAUAUACCCCCUAUCAGGGGUGUGAUUUUUCCUCUUUUCAGAGGAAAUCCUCUGAUUUGCUCAAUUUUCGAAAAAAAUGAGACGCUCUGGAUUUGAUCUAAAGUUGUAGAAAAUGUUAUUUUUCCAGGUAGGGUGAGGGGUUUUCCUUCCUUUUUGACCAGUUUUCCUCUGAUUUCUGAGGAAUUCAGUCACAUCCCUGCCUAUGCAUUGUGGUUUGGUAAUCCGAACUUUUUCGUGAUAAUGAUGUUUAUUAUAUAUACCCAUCAAUGUAUCGUUCGAUUUCACAGCUUCGCGUCUCGUGUGAUCUGAUGAUCUUGUCAACUCGACGUGAUCCGACUCUUCGGAUCAAGUUACUGUAAUAAUAUGUAUAAUAUAUAUUUAUCAGUCUAUAAUUGUCUCUUGUAUUCGUUUAAGAUAAUCUAAGUCGCGAAAAUUAGUCGCCGUGAACCAGUUCCUCUCUGGUAAAUCGUGAAUAAAGUAGUUGGUUUACAGUAUAUGAUAUAGAUUUAUAAUCAUGUGUUGUGGUUUCAUAAUUAUAUGCUGUAGUUUCAUAUUCAUGUACUGUGGUUGUAUUAUUACAUUCUGUUGAUAUGGCAUUAGAUAAUGUGGUUUCAUUAUGUGCUGUUAAUCUGAUAUUGUAUGGUGUGAUUUCAUAAUUUAUAAAUAUUUGCUGUUUCAGUA